UGUAAAAGAACAGCCCUCUCAAGAGCGGAAGCAUGUUGGAAAUUCUGGACAAGCUGUAUACAGGAUAAUUUCCCAUCCACCUCUCCCCCUUCUCUGAAUGUUAUACACAGAUGUGGCCAGUCUGGACAUACGUGUGUGAGUUCUUUUCUCACAGGUAAAGAAGCGCUACCCAAAGACCCUAGCAGUUCUUCCACUCCUUGGAACCAGGAGACUGGAUCUAUGUAAAGAUCCAUCAGUGCAAGACUGCUCCGGCUCCAUGCUGGAAGGGCCCUUUCCAAGUCCUGUUAACCACCAACACUGCUGUAAAGUGCCAAGGACUACCUGCCUGGACUCAUGCUUCUCACUGCAAAAAGACCCCUCCACCUCG